GACGAACGCUGGCGGCGUGCUUAACACAUGCAAGUCGAACGGAAAGGCCCUGCUUUUGUGGGGUGCUCGAGUGGCGAACGGGUGAGUAACACGUGAGUAACCUGCCCUGGACUUUGGGAUAACUUCAGGAAACUGGGGCUAAUACCGGAUAGGAGCUCCUGCUGCAUGGUGGGGGUUGGAAAGUUUCGGCCGUUGGUGAUGGACUCGCGGCUUAUCAGCUUGUUGGUGGGGUAGUGGCUUACCAAGGGUUUGACGGGUGGCCGGCCUGAGAGGUUGACCGGCCCCAUUGGGACUGAGAUAGGGACCAGACUCGUACGGGAGGCAGCAGUGGGAACUAUUGCCCAGUGGGCGGAAGCCUGAUGCAGCAACGCCGCGUGCGGGAUGACGGCCCUCGGGUUGUAAACCGCUUUCGCCUGUGACGAAGCGUGAGUGACGGUAAUGGGUAAAGAAGCACCGGCUAACUACGUG
rnacentral:rRNA from 1 species